rnacentral:rRNA from 1 species
GGGUCAGUAGGUUGGUCUCGCCACCGGUACGUACUGGUCUCACUGAUUCCUCCUUCCUGAAGAACCGUAAUGCCAUUAAUUUGGUGUUGCGGGGAAACAGGACUGUUACUUUGAAAAAAUUAGAGAGUUUAAAGCAAGCUAACGCUUGAAUACAUUAGCAUGGAAUAAUGAAAUAGGACGAUCGAUCCUAUUUUGUUGGUUUCUAGGAUUGACGUA